ensembl:lncRNA
CUGCAGUGUACUGAAUCAGUCCUGAGCUCAGCCAGCUGCAGCUGACUCUAUACUGUCUGCAGUGCACUGAAUCAGUCCUGAGCUCAGCCAGCUGCAGCUGACUCCAUACUGUCUGCAGUGCACUGAAUCAGUCCUGAGCUCAGCCAGCUGCAGCUGACUCCAUACUGUCUGCAGUGCACUGAAUCAGUCCUGAGCUCAGCCAGCUACAGCUGACUCUAUACUGUCUGCAGUGCACUGAAUCAGUCCUGAGCUCAGCCAGCUGCAACUGACACUAUACUGUCUGCAGUGCACUGAAUCAGUCCUGAGCUCAGCCAGCUGCAACUGACUCUGUACUGUCUGCAGUGCACUGAAUCAGUCCUGAGCUCAGCCAGCUGCAGGUGACUCUAUACGGUCUGCAGUGUACUGAAUCAGUCCUGAGCUCAGCCAGCUGCAGCUGACUCUAUACUGUCUGCAGUGCACUGAAUCAGUCCUGAGCUCAGCCAGCUGCAGCUGACUCUAUACUGUCUGCAGUGCACUGAAUCAGUCCUGAGCUCAGCCAGCUGCAGCUGAGUCCAUACUGUCUGCAGUGCACUGAAUCAGUCCUGAGCUCAGCCAGCUGCAGCUGACUCCAUACUGUCUGAAUUGCACUGAAUCAGUCCUGAGCUCAGCCAGCUGCAGCUGACUCCAUACUGUCUGAAUUGCACUGAAUCAGUCCUGAGCUCAGCCAGCUGCAGCUGACUCCAUACUGUCUGAAUUGCACUGACUUAAAAAAAAAAAUAAAUAAAAAACUUAUAGAUGUAGGAUCUUGCAUGGAUGUUGCAGGGGAACUUUACUGCAAUGCAGGACUUUUUCAAAGUAUAGUGUAUUUGAGGUUUAAAAAGCUUCUGAUGUUUCUAAUUUCCACUUUGAAAUUUCAGACAUGAUUUUAUCUUAUGAUGAAAAAUGUAUCAACCCCUACAAAAAUGCUAAUUAAUUAUAAUCCACAUAAUAAUUCACAUUUCCUGUUGCUGAAGAAUUAAUUUCCUGUUGUAGAAAACUGG